CCCCCCCCAGUUUUAUAUACUUUCACACUUAAGCAACCUUACUAGCUUUAAGUAUAUAAAUCUUAGUGAUCUAUAUGACUGGAAUGUAGUUUUAUCUGCGGUUACUCAUUAAAAGUCUAAUAGGAGGUUGUUGACUCGGUUAAACACCAAAUCAUUUUUAAAUAAAAUAAUGAAAUUGACUUAUCCUGUAAAUAUUGUCCUUGCGGAACGGAACAACUAAUUCUUCGACUUCUACUCGGUCUCUUUUCUCGUGGGGUUUUAUCGCUUUAUCGACGUAGUGCGUUAAAAAUUGUCUUAGUACUACCCAGUGACGCAGAAUCGCACUACACCGCCACCGUCGCUAAUUCUUGAGAAAAAGGUAAUCCCUUGGCGGACUCAAGCGAAAUACCUGGGGGUCAUUGUCGAAUGUUAAACCCUCUUGGCGGUCGCAUGUAAACUGGAUCGCGGCGAAGAUGAGGGUGGCGGUUCAAACUCUUUAACCUUUGUAUACUGAAUCUAUCAUCCUUUCAGCCACUUUGUUAGAACGGCACCCUAUAAAUACGAUGGGUUUAUCUCCGUAGAAAAAGGAUAUUAGACAGAAAGGUUAUCUGCAAAGAGACCGCUUUCUCGAGAUAUUUCUCUAUCUAAAUUAUUUUUGGAUGGUAGGUUGGUUCGCACUAGGUGCUAAACGAGGUUCGCCUUCUACUAUUGCAGUCUUAAAGAAAAAUUUAUUGGAAACUAAUUUUAAUUGUUAGCGUAAUUUACCUGAAGCUUUUAAGGAAAAAAUAGUUUGUUUGCUUAUAGCUGAUCUUAACUAAAACCAGUGCUUAGAAAAACUGAAAAAUUAAAAACUAACUUUACUUGGACUGGAAAGCGGGCUCGAGUCACCGAAGCAAAGGAUCCCGUGAGAUCGAGGCGUCGUCGCAUGCUAGAAAACGAGCAGCUUUUACGAAGCUUUAUAAUAAAAAAACAGAAAAAAAUAGUAAAGUACGGAGGAAGCCGAAAUCACUGCCGUUUCUGCUGCCGCCGCUAAUUUUGGCCGCUUCGGAGAGAGAAAAACAUUUUGUUCCAGUAAAACUUUUUGUUCGCUGAACGAACAUGUGUGAUUUAGGGCGGCGAGGAGAAGAGAUUGUUCGACUGCAAGCUUGUCGUCCUCCUUUAAUAA